AUUGAACGCUGGCGGCAGGCCUAACACAUGCAAGUCGAGCGAGCGGCGGACGGGUGAGUAAUGUAUGGGGACUGCCCGAUAGAGGGGGAUAACUACUGGAAACGGUGGCUAAUACCGCAUACUCUCGUAUAACCCAUAUGGGAUUAGCUAGUAGGUGGGGUAAGGGCUCACCUAGGCGACGAUCUCUAGCUGGUCUGCGAGGAUGAUCAGCCACACUGGACCUGAGACACGGCCCAGACUCCUACGGAGGCAGCAGUGGGGAAUAUUGCACAAUGGGCGGAGGCCUGAUUCAGCCAUGCGGCGUGUAUGAGGAAGGCCUUAGGGUUGUAAAGUACUUUCAUCGGGGAGGCGUUACUCGCAGAAGAAGCACCGGCUAACUCCGUGCCAGCAGCCGCGGUAAUUC
rnacentral:rRNA from 1 species